rnacentral:rRNA from 1 species
UUGUACACACCGCCCGUCACACCAUGGGAGUAGAUUGUACCAGAAGCGGCUAGCCUAACCUUCGGGAGGGCGGUUACCACGGUAUGGUUUAUGACUGGGGUGAAGUCGUAACAAGGUAGCCGUAGGGGAACCUGCGGCUGGAUCACCUCCUUUAAAGAAAAGGGUCUAGACCCCACACACGCCACUCGGUAAGGAAUUGGGCCUAUAGCUCAGCUGGCUAGAGCACACGACUGAUAAUCGUGAGGUCAGUGGUUCGAGUCCACUUGGGCCCACCAAAUGGGGCUGUUAGCGUCAGUUGGGAGAGACGACCUGCUUUGCAAGCAGGGGGUCACCGGUUCGACGA